UACGUAGGGUGCGAGCGUUAAUCGGAAUUACUGGGCGUAAAGUGUGCGCAGGUGGCCGCGCAUGUCGAGUGUGAAAUCCCCCGGGCUUAACUUGGGAAUUGCGCUCGAAACUACGUGGCUCGAGUGUGGCAGAGGAAGGUGGAAUUCCACGUGUAGCGGUGAAAUGCGUAGAGAAUGUGGAGGAACACCGAUGGCGAAGGCAGCCUUCUGGGCCAACACUGG
rnacentral:rRNA from 1 species